UCACCCUGUCCAAAGAGGGAGAGUAAGGAGAGGGGAAAGAGGACACAGUUCCAUUUCUGAAAAAGGCAAGUGGAUCUAGGAGACUGGGUCUGAAAGACAGGCAGCAGGAGGCCCACUGGGCGCUCAAGGAACAGGGGCAGGGAGUGGUGAAAUGGAAACAAGAAGGCAGGACUCGGGGCAGACAGGAGUGGAUAAAUGCAAGGUGGGCUGGGCCGCCAGAGGCAGGCCUCAGGCCCCACUGUAGGGGUACAACUCACCUCAAUCUGCAGCAUGCGUAUGGGCUCUGCCUCUAGGAGGGUGAUGGCCUCUGGGGACACCACAGUGACCGGGAUCCUGUCUGGAGGGGCAGGAAAGUCACCCCAGCCCCUCUACUGCUUUCCAGGUUCCCACCCCAUGUGGUGAGGCAAAAACAUGGACUCUACAAUCAAGUCAACCUGGGUUCUGGUCAGGCCCAGGCCAGUCACUGCCAAUCUGAACCUGACUAUGCUGCUUAACCACUAGGGGCCUCACUUUCCUCCUCUGUAAAAAGGGCCUUAUUCAGACAAUGGACGAAAAUAUUCCUUCAUGCCUAA